rnacentral:rRNA from 1 species
UACGUAGGCAGCGAGCGUUGUUCGGAGUUACUGGGCGUAAAGGGUGUGUAGGCGGUUGUUUAAGUUUGGUGUGAAAUCUCCCGGCUCAACUGGGAGGGUGCGCCGAAUACUGAAUGACUUGGAGUGCGGGAGAGGAAAGUGGAAUUCCUGGUGUAGCGGUGAAAUGCGUAGAUAUCAGGAGGAACACCGGUGGUGUAGACGGCUUUCUGGACCGUAACUGACACUGAUACGCGACAGCAUGGGGAGCGAACGGG